UAAAGAUUCAUCGCUGAUAGAUAGGCAUGCGUUCCAUUAGGCAGUUGGCGGGGUAACGGCCCACCAAACCGACGAUGGAUAGGGGUUCUGAGAGGAAGGUCCCCCACAUUGGUACUGAGACACGGACCAAACUCCUACGGGAGGCAGCAGUGAGGAAUAUUGGUCAAUGGGCGUAAGCCUGAACCAGCCAAGUCGCGUGAGGGAUGAAGGUUCUAUGGAUCGUAAACCUCUUUUAUAAGGGAAUAAAGUGCGGGACGUGUCCCGUUUUGUAUGUACCUUAUGAAUAAGGAUCGGCUAACUCCGUGCCAGCAGCCGCGGUAAUACGGAGGAUCCGAGCGUUAUCCGGAUUUAUUGGGUUUAAAGGGUGCGUAGGCGGCCUUUUAAGUCAGCGGUGAAGGUCUGUGGCUCAACCAUAGAAUUGCCGUUGAAACUGGGAGGCUUGAGUAUGUUUGAGGCAGGCGGAAUGCGUGGUGUAGCGGUGAAAUGCUUAGAUAUCACGCAGAACCCCGAUUGCGAAGGCAGCCUGCCAAGCCAUGACUGACGCUGAUGCACGAAAGCGUGGGGAUCAAACAGGAUUAGAUACCCUGGUAGUCCACGCAGUAAACGAUGA
rnacentral:rRNA from 1 species